UCACGUCUGAAACAUCUUCUUCUUUUUUUCAUUUUUCUUUCCAUUUCCUUCCAACCUUCUUCCUCCUUUUCAUGCUUCUAUCCUGACCAACCCUUUAACAAACCCUAACAACCCUCAACAAGGCCUUCAAUUACGAAUCGUAUGAGGUAACAGAGUAACAGAGAGUAGCAGCAAUGGUUCCCAAGUACGCUUCUCCCUUCUUCUAUUCCUUUGAUUUCAAUUAAAUUUC
rnacentral:lncRNA from 1 species